AAAAUUAAAAUAAAAAACAAAUGAAAGUAUAUUUAGAAAGAAAAAUGGAUAUGGCAAAAACCUUUCAAGGUUUUGGUACGCCUAUAUGCGGGCUUUCCUGGUCACCCCAUUUCAUUACAUGUUGGACCCUUUGAGCUUUGAAAUGUCAGAAAUCAAAAUUUUCAAAUAGCGAUCACCAUAUAGUUUUUCACCUUUUUACUAGUAACUUGUUAGUUAUUUUUACUACAAUGUUAUAAUUUUAAAAAUUAUUUACUAAAAUAGAAUAAGAAGGGAUUAUACUUUCCUGAAUUUGAUUUUUUUCCACAUGUCAACUCUUUUUUUUUUCUUUCAUUACUUUCUCACCAUUUGAACGUUGAUUUAGUGUACAGUGUAACCCGUAGAAAAUUUAGAAACUCUUGUUAUUUCUCUGCUCCCAAACCGCAGAAUUGUCUUGAGAAUCUAAACUUUCACGUCCUUCUCUUCUCUCCUCGACAACUUCUUUGCUCCCACAUGACAAUGACAAAUUAUUGCAUCUGACAUGUGUAUUCAGGGUAAAAAAUAGGUCAGUUCGAUAAAAACCUAUAACCUAACUUAUAUUAGGUCUAAGUAAGUCAGGUUAGACUAGAAAUUAGAUUAGGCCAAAGUUUUUAGGAAAGUUUAUUUAGUUAAAUAGAUUGUGUAGGCCAUUUGAAAAAUCUUUUAGACCUAAAAAGUUCAUCUAUUUAAAAAGUUAUAAAUAAUUAUUCAUUACUAAUAUUAUUAUUAUUAUAUUAAAUUGUUAUAAUUUAUUAAAAUUUUAUAUUAUUUAUAUUUUUAAAUGUUAAUCAUAUUGAUUUACAUAAAAAGUCAACUUAAAAUUUAUAAUUAAGUUUAUUAAAAAAUAAAUUUAUCAUAUUUAAAUAUAUUAUUGCAAAAUAUAUUUGUAAAUAACAUCAUGUUAUAUUAAACCUUAAAAAUAUAUUUAUAUCAUAUAAAUAAGUUAGAUUUGAUUGUUAUAAAGUUUCACAUACAUAUUUUUAUCUCUUUCUUAAUAUUAAAUUAUUAUAAAUUAGACAAUCAAAAUAGAUUUAUAAUCAUAUCAAACUUUUAUGUAAGUCAGAUGAAGCUUUUUAGCUCCUUACCAUAUACUUUUAAUCUAACAAAAUCUAAUUCAACUCGACCGAUCCUGUGUGUAUCAUCAUGUUGAAGCUAGGCACUUGUCUAUGUGACAUUUUUUCUUAAGGUACGUGUCAUAUCUAACCGUAACAGAAGAACGAAAAGGAAAAAGUUAUAUCAUUUGUUCCGAGAUAAUAUCCCGGCCCGUAAAAGGAAUUGGUUCAUGUUAAAUAAUAAAAUUUUGUUACCAAAUAUUGAUAAAAUUAUAAUUAAUGUUAAAUAAUUCAGAUCAAAGAGGGAGGAAAAAAAUUAAGCAAGGUAUAAAAUAUAAAAUUACAACACACUCUUUUCUGGAAAGAUGAAAAAAGAAAACGUGAAGAAAGAAAAAAUUUGAAAAAAAAAAUAUGAAGAUAUAUUAUAUAUUGGGCUUUUAGAACGUAGUAUUAUAACUUUCCUUUUUCCCAACCUAGUUCUUCUAAAUCAACUAAAGCUUAUUUGGAUAAUCUUCUCUAGAAAAAUUUAUAGGAGAAGAAAAUAAGAAAAAAAUGAAAUGAAUUUUUUCAUACUUUAAAUAAGUUUCCUAUUAAUUGACUAUUAGCUAACUUCUUUUUAUCUUAUUUUUUCUAUAUUAUCUCUUUUUUUCUAUUUUAUUUUAAUUCAUUAUUAUGUUCUAUAUUUUUCUGUUUUCUUUUUUUUUCUUUUUCUAUAGCCAAAGAGCCCGACCAGUACGUACCUAGUUGGGCUCUUUUUAAUUCCCAUGAAUAUUGAAUAACAAUGUUUUGUUUGAAUUGAAUGUACUUUAUUAGAAAUAUGUUUUCUCAUCUUUUAGACAAAUUAUAUGAUUUCUAUAAAUUAGUUAAUUUUGUUAAUGAACAUCUCAUUUUAACUUAUCAUGAAAUUUAUCUCAUUAUUUUUUUCUCUUAUUAGUGUUUCUAAAUAAAUUUAUCCAAACAGGUCAUAACACUUUGUCGACCAGUACCUGAUAGCUUCAACAUCAUUUGAAGUGUCCUCUCCACACAUUGGAGGUGCUCUGAAGUUGUCUCAGUGUCUAUCUAAUGGUUAAAUGUCACAAACAUUGAUUUUUCACCUAAGUGUUUGUUGUUUUCCUCCAUUUGCAUAGCUCCGUUGAGGUUGGGUCGAUGUAGGCAUUGUUCCUUCUUUGGAAAUUUUAUUGUUAAGGUUCAUUUUUUGGAAUUCUUAGUUAACUAUUUUCCCUAUUAAGUAAUCCAAAAGGGUAUUGAUGGUAAAAGAAUUCAAAAUAUGCAAUCUAGAAGACUUAUUAAUGUCUUACAGAAUAUGUAUUCCAAAAAAUUAAUUACAAUUUCGAACUAGGCAAUGAAGAAAAGAAACUUCAACCUUUCAAAAUAAUUAUUCCAUUAAUUUUUAACCAUCUUCUAGAUUAUCCAUUGCGGAAUAUGUUUAACAUUUUUGGAAUAAUUAUUCUGAAAGAUUGAAGCUUCUUUUUUGGAUAGUAAUUAGUUUUCUAGAUUGAUCAUUAUGUAAUAGGACUGAAAGCCUUCCAGAUUGUCUUUUCAGAACAAUGUUUGAAAAACAAAUGAUCCGGAAUGUAUAUAAAUACGUUACGUUGCACAACAUGUUCAUUCUGAGUGACUUACCUUCGUCGGUGUCGGGGUGGCUUCAAACAGGUUUGUUGCGCAAGGGAAUGGCGGUGCCUUCAACCACCUGAUGUGUCGCAAGCCUUAGGGAGUCAGGUUGGCGCGCCGCACGACUAAGGUGAAGAAGUGACGGUGGCGCACCGUAGCAGUGAAGGAGUGAGGUCAGGGGGUGCUAGCUAGGGUUAGGGAAGGAGGUGCGCCACUUGAGGUAAUAAGAAGCGCGUGAGAGAUAGGAAUAAUUUUGUCAAGGGGUGCAGGAAGCAAACUGGGAGAUGAGUAAAACAUGUGAACUGCAGCAUCUCUCACAUGUUCUAAUCCAUGCAAUAUCUUACAGGGUUAGAACAAAUCUCUCUCUAUCCUAACUAAAUAUUUGAUAGAAUUGUUUAUCUGGAUUCAAAUUUAAUAAUAUACGAGAGUUCAGUCAUGAUUGGAUUAAUUCGAUACAUUAAUAUAAUAUAUCAAUUAUUAUAACAUUAAGAUAAAUAUAACAUGUAAAUAUAAUAUCAUGUUAUUGAAAACAUAAUAGUAUUAUCUCAGGGAAUUACCUUCCUGUAGCCCAAGCCAAUCUUAGCAUGAUCUCCCUAACUCUUGUGCUCCAAACCGAAUGUGGUUAACAAAC
rnacentral:lncRNA from 1 species